rnacentral:rRNA from 1 species
CCAGACUCCUACGGGAGGCAGCAGUGGGGAAUAUUGGGCAAUGGACGCAAGUCUGACCCAGCAACGCCGCGUGAAGGAAGAAGGCUUUCGGGUUGUAAACUUCUUUUAAGGGGGAAGAGCAGAAGACGGUACCCCUUGAAUAAGCCACGGCUAACUACGUGCCAGCAGCCGCGGUAAUACGUAGGUGGCAAGCGUUAUCCGGAAUUACUGGGUGUAAAGGGUGUGUAGGCGGGUUUGCAAGUCAGAUGUGAAAAUUAUGGGCUCAACCCAUAACCUGCGUCUGAAACUACAGAUCUUGAGAGUGGGAGAGGUAAACGGAAUUCCCGGUGUAGCGGUGAAAUGCGUAGAUAUUAGGAGGAACACCAGUGGCGAAGGCGGCCUGCUGGACGACAACUGACGGUGAGGCGCGAAAGCGUGGGGAGCAAACAGGAUUAGAUCCCCGUGUA